rnacentral:lncRNA from 1 species
GAGCUGGGCUGACAGAUGGAGCAAGGACGAUGUCCUGAGCUUUGGCUUGGCUGCUGUAUGGGGAAUAAUUCUUGUGGGCCCCUUUCUGCUUGUGUGAGCGUUUUCGGAGCAUCUUCAGAAGCACCAGCCCUCUCCUCUGUUGUAUUAUUUUUGUUUGUAAAUCCUGGCUGAAGAAGGAUCUCAGCUCAAACAUAAAGCUCCAUCUGAACUGAGCGGCACGGGGCAAAUCUGGGAUCAAGCCUGUGAAGAAAAUGGGUUUGUUAGCCUUAUAAAUUGAAUCUGGAGUUCCCGGUGCAAAUAACCUAUUACCGUCCCAAGUGAUUCUGCUUUAAUGAGUGUUGUCAAAGCUGCAGGUCUCACAGAUGUGAUAAGACCUGGACAAUACCAGGGGUGGACAUCCAGGUUCUAGUGUGCUUCUGCCCAGCCUGGAAGAACUCCCUGAGCAAUACUACAGCUUCUAUCCCUAAGGAUGGAGGGAGGUUCCCAAUGUAUUCCUCCAGUUAAAAACUACCCACCCACAAACAUCCCAGUGCAUCCCUUUGGAGAACGAAACGCAAGGGGAAUCCAGACAUGAAGUUUGGCUUCCUGCUGCUGAGAUAAAUAGUGAGGCUGUUAAACUCUACCAUUGUCCCAUGCCCUUUAGAGUGGAAAGAGUUUCUACUUCUAGCUUUAAGGUAAUAUAUGCUUUAUACAGUGUUUUUUUUCUCUUUUUUAUAGGAGGAGGUGGUGCUACCUUUGGGAAGACUAUGUCAGCAUCUGCAUACAGUCCCAUCCUGCACAUAUCCUGCUGGUCUCUCUGCUCUGAUCUCAGAAGGCCUCCAACCCCAAUUUACGCAGCAAAGCUCUCCAACACCAGGCAGCCGGGAAGUCUCCAGCUGAAACCUCUCCACAAACUGAUAGGAAGCAGCGAGACCCACAUUGCUUUCAUCAGUCUCAUCCCCAUCCAUAGAGCUAAAGGCUCAGAAAACUUCCAUCCCCCCCUCUACCCUGCACUGUGGUCUCUAUUUUGGGUUCCGGUGUCGCAGCAGCAUUCAUCUUUGUUACACCCAUGGCAUGCCAUCAGCUCACAGGUGAUGAGAAAAAGCAGAUGCAGUUUGCCAUGAGCCAGUUGUUCUCCUGUCUGCACAUCCCAAAAUGAGCUUCAGGAUUUCAAGCAUGCUUCACUGUUCCCAUACAAGGAACCCCUGGAGUCAAAGUGUGCAGUGCAUGAGAUCUGGGCUGGAUGUGACCUUUAGAGUGAAUGCAGCAUGGGGAACAGGAAGAUUCAGCAAAAAAAGAGCAAAUGUCUGAAAAACUGAGAAUUUAAAAGGAAUCUUGUGGUUUUAGCCGAGUUCAAUAUUCUUUUUAGUAUUUUGAGAAGUGAAAAUCUUAGGCAGCUGAACAGAACUUUGCCCAUGGACAAUUCCUGCUUAGAGAAUAAACUUAAAAGAGAAUAAACA